AACAUUGACAUUGACUCUACUUGCAUAAACUUGUUAAGCAAUUCGACAGACAAAAAGGGGUUUUUUCUAUGUACUUCGGCUGAUAAUGUAACUAUUUCGACUAUGCGCGCACACUCUCUGGUUACGUUCGAAUCUCAGCCACAGUCGCGACACAGCAACGGCAGAGAAAACAAUAAAACAUUUAUAUAAUGACUGUGUGUGGAGUAUAACAUCAAACGGAUAUCGAUGAUUGAGAAUACAGUGGAUGACAACCUCAAUUCCGAUUUUGGAUAAAAUGCUCGAAUGUGAUCAGAAGACGGGCUAAUCACCUUUCGUCGCUAGGCCAACAGGUUGUUUACGGUUAUCGGAAGUUGAAAUGGAGUUGCGGUAGAAAAUGUAUAUCGAAAAUGACAUCACAUAACUCGAAUGUUUGCAUUCGACACACACUAUUUCACGUUCAAUUUUUGGUUCGAUUGCAAUUAACACACAAUUUCCACAAUGGAAGUCGAUGAUAUCAACGCACAAAUGUCGUUAGUUAUGUACCACGAAAUAAAUUGACAAAUUCAUGUCGAGGUUAUCGAAUAGCUGGCACUUUUGACUCUCAGACAAUUUUUUUUUAUUUUCGAAAUAUAAAAAAUGUUGCGACAAGUGUGA